rnacentral:snRNA from 11 species
AGAUUGAUCUGGCUGUGGUAGCCUCACUGUUCACCAGGGUUGAUUCAGCUGAUCCCGCUAGCUGGGUGUCAUCCCUUUCUCCAAGUGCAUCUCUCCAGUCCUUGGUGGCAGAUGACCUUCCCAGAAAGGCAGAGUGUACCAUACUUAAGUCAAGUAAAAACUGUGCUCCCUUGCCAUAUCUUCCACUUAGAAUCCCUAGCUUUCCCUUUGUGGAUUUAAGUGUCCAGAUUAAUCCAGAUUUGUUCAUAGUUUAU